rnacentral:lncRNA from 1 species
AUCAAAAGAAGUAACCAACAUACUGAAAAAAGUUAAGUUUCCUUUACGUUCCCCUCCCUGACAACUUUUCCAAGUUCCUCCUAAUAUAAACUCAAAGAUGAAAUGUAACCCACCAAGUCUCUAUUGGCUCAAUAGUAAAAUAAUUACUCAUAAGAUUUUGGGUGUAAAAGAGGUUUUGAAAUUCAUUUUUGCCCAAGGCAGGGAUGUUAAAAUUACAGCUAAAACUAGCAAAAAAAAUUUUAUAAG